rnacentral:lncRNA from 10 species
GGUCCCAUCCAGAUACCACAUGACACCCGGUUGUCCUGUCUUCGGAGGCUCCUCCUGGCUGGGACAGCUUCUCAGACUUUCCUUGCUGCGAUGGCUGCUCAAGCUUUGAGGAGUACAGUCAGUGUUCUAUAGAACGUCUCUCUCGCUACUGAAAUUCGUCUAAUGUUUUUCUCAUGAUUAGACUGGGGUUGGGCAUGUUUAGAAAGAAGACCACAGAAGUAAAGUGCCUCCCUCAUCACACCGUGUCAAGGGUACACACCACCACGUGACUUCUCCCUGUCGCUGCUGACCUGGCCACCUGGCUGAGGCAGGAUUGCUCAGCUUCCUCCAUUCUCAGCUUUACACUUGUGAUCUCCUUUCCACGCUGCACUCGCUGGAAGGGAGUCACUGUAUGCAGCCAACACUGAAGGAAUGAAGUUAUUCCACACAGGAUUUAGAAUGCUCCACAGACGAUUUUUCUGCUCUUCCUAUUUAUUUUACAUCACUCUGCUUUUGUGAUACCAGCGACAGAACUCUGCAAACAUCUCUGCUUCGCAGCUGGCAUCCUGUUGGAUUUUUCCAGUAGAGGGAAGCUUCCAUGCUGCAGGAAGAAGGGGCGUGCUCCUUCCCGUUCCUGUCAGCACUGCUGCAGCAGUUUGCUCUCACAGCUGCAUGUGAUCCCAGCUGCCAUUUCUGACCUGCUCAGAACCAGCUUCAUGAUGGGCUCAAAGACCC